AGCGAACGCUGGCGGCAGGCCUAACACAUGCAAGUCGAACGAACCUUUCGGGGUUAGUGGCGGACGGGUGAGUAACACGUGGGAACGUGCCUUUAGGUUUGGAAUAACUCAGGGAAACUUGUGAUAAUACCGAAUGUGCCCUUCGGGGGAAAGAUUAAUCGCCUUUAGAGCGGCCCGCGUCUGAUUAGCUAGUUGGUUGAGGUAAUGGCUCACCAAGGCGACGAUCAGUAGCUGGUCUGAGAGGAUGAUCAGCCACAUUGGGACUGAGACACGGCCCAAACUCCUACGGGAGGCAGCAGUGGGGAAUCUUGCGCAAUGGGCGAAAGCCUGACGCAGCCAUGCCGCGUGAAUGAUGAAGGUCUUAGGAUUGUAAAAUUCUUUCACCGGGGACGAUAAUGACGGUACCCGGAGAAGAAGCCCCGGCUAACUUCGUG
rnacentral:rRNA from 1 species